rnacentral:SRP_RNA from 1 species
CCGUGCUAGACGGGGCAGUAGCGGGGCCCUGAACCCGAAAACCGCUAUAGCGGGGUCGAAUUCCCGCUUCAGGGUUGGGCCAACGGGGCCUGGUCCGGGCAAGUGGUGUUGACGAUUGGGUCUUGCGCAAUAAGGCUUCAUGAAUCCCGUCAGGUCCGGGAGGAAGCAGCGGUAAGUGAACAACCUUAUGUGCCGCGAGGGUGCCUAGUCCGAGCUAACGACCUGGGUGCCGCUCGGGGGUGUCGAUUCGAGAGCGGGUGCACGG